rnacentral:rRNA from 1 species
AGUAACGCGUGAGGAACCUGCCUCAAAGAGGGGGACAACAGUUGGAAACGACUGCUAAUACCGCAUAAGCCCACGGCUCGGCAUCGAGCAGAGGGAAAAGGAGCAAUCCACUUUGAGAUGGCCUCGCGUCCGAUUAGCUAGUUGGUGAGGUAAUGGCCCACCAAGGCGACGAUCGGUAGCCGGACUGAGAGGUUGAACGGCCACAUUGGGACUGAGACACGGCCCAG